GGCUGGGUAGCUCAGAUGGUUAGAGCGUGGGAUUCAUAACCCCAAGUCGUGAAAUACCAAGUUGUUUAAAUAGCCAUUUUUACGCUGGCUA
rnacentral:tRNA from 1 species